rnacentral:rRNA from 1 species
GAUGAACGCUGGCGGCGUGCCUAAUACAUGCAAGUCGAGCGAACGGACGAGAAGCUUGCUUCUCUGAUGUUAGCGGCGGACGGGUGAGUAAACGUGGAUAACCUACCUAUAAAACUGGGGAAAAUUCGGGAAACCGGGGCUAAUUACGGAAAAAUAUUUGAAACGCCAGGGUCCAAAGUGGAAGAAGGGUUUGCCGGCCCCUAUAGGAGGGACCGCGCUGCAUUAGCUAGUUGGUAAGGUAACGGCUUACCAAGGCAACGAUGCAUAGCCGACCUGAGAGGGUGAUCGGCCACACUGGAACUGAGACACGGUCCAGACUCCUACGGGAGGCAGCAGUAGGGAAUCUUCCGCAAUGGGCGAAAGCCUGACGGAGCAACGCCGCGUGAGUGAUGAAGGUCUUCGGAUCGUAAAACUCUGUUAUUAGGGAAGAACAUAUGUGUAAGUAACUGUGCACAUCUUGACGGUACCUAAUCAGAAAGCCACGGCUAACUACGUG